AAACUUUUGACACACAAAACAACAUGGAUGAAUCUCAAAAACAUUUUGAGUGCAAUAGGAGCCAUACGCAAAAGAGUGUGAGAAAAAUGAUAAAUAAUAAUGGUUUCAAGAAAUGCAGAGCAGAGAGCCCAGAGGCAAAGACCCACAGGACAGAGGGUCAGUCCCAGGCUGUGGAUCCUAACUAAGAAACUCCUGCUGGAUUUUGCCCAGCUCCAUUUCCAAACUAUUUUGGGUUAGUGACUUCUUUAUCCCCUCCAUGUUCCCUCAUUUUGAACUAGAAUCACUGUAGUUGUUAUUCUAUGUCUGUCCCAUCAUUUCACAUUAGGGACAGAUAAGCUGUUUGUUCAGUUUCACAGGUCGACAGAGGUAAGGGAAUUAUGUCAAGGAUCUGCACUUAAUGGACACUCUCGGAAGCCUCAUUCACACCUGGUGUGGAUGUUUUAGAUGGGAUUUUAAACUUUUGAUCUGAUGUGGUCUACAUGACAUUUUUCAUGUUGAACUAAUGCUUUAAUGACAUGAAAUCUGGAAACCUCAGGGGAGAGGGUAAAUGCACUUUGCAGAUGGGGGAAUGUGCGUGUCCUACUGUGGUAGAUGGAAUUUCUGAAAUGGUCCCCAAACAUGCCACACCCUUGUCUCUAAAGCCUCUUAACGUGAUGAGACACCAUUCCUGUGACUAUGUUGUUAUAUGCCAGUUAUAUGACUUUAAGAUGGUGAGGUUACCGCAUGAACUGGAUCUAAUCACAUCACUCCACACAUGACAGAGCUUUGUGUGGCUGGUUGGAGAAGAUGAAGUCAGAGAAGGUGGGAGCUUGAGAAGGACUCCAUAAGUUGUUAUUGGUUGAAAGAUGAAACAGACAGGUAAGGAGGAAAGCACGUGGCCUCUGGAGUCAGAGUAGAGUGUCUCCCUGCUGACAGCCAGCACAGAAAAAGGGCCCUCAGUCCCCCACAAACAAGAAUAGGAACUCUUUCAUUAUCUGUAGUGAACCUGGAAAAAUAGCUUGAGCUCUAGGAAAAAAACAUAGCCAGCCCAUUCCCGGAUUUUAGUCUCACAUGACUCUGAUCAGAGAACCCGGCCGCUUCAUUCCAGACUUCUGUGGUUUCAAACCACUGGUUUGUGGUAAUGUGAUAAUAGGCAGCGAGAGAAAACUAGUACAGGUGCCUGUCUCUCCUCUUGAAUUUCAAUUUCAGAUAAAUGUAUGCUAACCCUCUAAGAGAAAAAAAUCAAUCAAUCGACCAAUCAAUGAAAGAACUACAGUAAAA
rnacentral:lncRNA from 1 species